rnacentral:rRNA from 1 species
UGCGUAGGCGGGCUAAUAAGUCAGUGGUGAAAUCUUCCGGCUCAACCGGGAACCUGCCAUUGAUACUGUUUAUCUUGAGUUCGGCAGAGGUAGGCGGAAUGUGUAAUGUAGCGGUGAAAUGCUUAGAUAUUACACAGAACACCAAUUGCGUAGGCAGCUUACUAUACCGACACUGACGCUGAGGCACGAAAGCGUGGGGAGCGAACAGGAUUAGAUACCCUGGUAGUCC